rnacentral:rRNA from 1 species
GUCCGGAAUCAUUGGGCGUAAAGAGCGCGCAGGCGGCUUGGCAAGUCGGGUGUGAAAUCCCGGGGCUCAACCCCGGGACUGCAUUCGAUACUGUCAGGCUAGAGGUAGGUAGGGGAGAUCGGAAUUCCUGGUGUAGCGGUGAAAUGCGCAGAUAUCAGGAGGAACACCGGUGGCGAAGGCGGAUCUCUGGGCCUUACCUGACGCUCAGGCGCGAAAGCUAGGGGAGCGAACAGG